UCCAAGAAAAUGAUGAUAAUAUAGUUCAUAUGAACAUUAAUGAUUGUAAAAAUCUAUCUAUUUUCGCCCCUAUCUGAUUUUAUUA